rnacentral:tRNA from 1 species
GUUUUUAUAGUGUACUAAACAUAUUGUCCUUUCAAGACAAAGAUAUCCAUUUUAAAAACA